rnacentral:lncRNA from 1 species
GUCAGUCAGUGAGAGGAGGGGGAAGAUGGCUCACCGGGACCCGUUCUGCUAGGAAGAAGGGGAGCAGGUGGUGCUGCUACUCGGGAGGAAGCAGAGCAGCCUCCGUCGCUGUCGCUGAGAGCCUCACGAGUCGAGGUCCUGCAGGUGGAGCUCCGGCAGCCGCCCUGGUUGAAGGUUUAGAACAGAUGUGGAAAAAUGUUUACUUCAGAGAAAGGGGUUGUGGAGGAAUGGUUGUCAGAGUUUAAGACAUUACCAGAAACAUCUUUACCAAAUUAUGCCACAAAUUUGAAAGACAAGAGUUCUUUAGUUUCAUCUCUCUAUAAAGUUAUCCAGGAGCCACAAAGUGAGGUAAGUACUUUUAUGGUUUAUUGUGCUAACAGUAUUGACUUGAUUGAUUUUUAAUUUUUUAUUGUGAAAUAGAUAUAAAGGGGUAAGAAAAUGUAUAUGUUUAAAGAACAAUACUGAAAUGAACUCUAGUGUACCAUUCCCCAAGCCAAGAAAUAUAAUUUAUUACCGUAUUCCAGAAGCCAUCUCUGAACAUU